rnacentral:rRNA from 1 species
UACACUCCUGCGGGAGGCAGCAGUGGGGAAUUUUGGACAAUGGGCGAAAGCCUGAUCCAGCCAUGCCGCGUGCAGGAUGAAGGCCUUCGGGUUGUAAACUGCUUUUGUACGGAACGAAACGGCCUUUUCUAAUAAAGAGGGCUAAUGACCGUACCGUCAGAAUAAGCACCGGCUAACUACGUGCCAGCAGCCGCGGUCAUACGUACGGUGCAAGCGUUAAUCGGAAUUACUGGGCGUAAAGCGUGCGCAGGCGGUUAUGUAAGACAGUUAUGAAAUCCCCGGGCUCAACCGGGGAGCUGCAUCUGUGACUGCAUAGCUAGAGUACGGUAGAGGGGGAUGGAAUUCCGCGUGUAGCAGUGAAAUGCGUAGAUAUGCGGAGGAACACCGAUGGCGAAGGCAAUCCCCUGGACCUGUACUGACGCUCAUGCACGAAAGCGUGGGGAGCAAACAGGAUUAGAAACCCCGGUAGUCCCAUG